GAGCUGGUUGUCAGACAGUGGAGGAAGAGCGCAGGCUGGAGGAGAGACAGAAGCUGGAGGACUGAGGAUGGAGAAGGAUCUAUUGACUCUGUCUGCAUGGAAACCAGAUGUAAACGCAGGGAAAAUCCACCUGGAAGAUUCAGCACGACCUCAAAUUGAAGACAUUUUGGCUCUAGAGUUUUGCUCUGCUUGCGACACACAGAGUCAUCAUCAAACAAAAACAAGAAGGGGAAAAUGGCUGGUCCGAAUUUGCCACCUCCUCCGACACCCUCGCCUGUUUUUACCCAGAAGCCCCUGGUGCCAUCUGUAUCGCCAGUGGAGACACUUGGCUUUGCCAGGAGAUAGACAAAGACCUGGAGCAUGGGCAUGCUCAGAGGAGCCAUCUUGGGAGAUCAUUCAUCGAGACAUCUAAAAUGGCUGGGCUGGCACUUGAGGAUAGGACCAGAACUCUGAAGAUCUCUGCACCUGGCUUUGGGGACCAAACUCAGCAUGAAAAAAUGAAAAAAUAAAAAUUUCACUAUACCUACAGGACUCUGAGCAUUGAAUCUGAAUCUGACUCUGUGAAUGGAUUGUACUUAUAUGAACUUUACUGAGUUGAAUUUGCAAUAUAGAUAAUUAAAGUUAAUGCUAUACUGUUGUAAUAAAGUGUAUAAUUGAACAUUUUCAGAAACAAAUCAAAAUGAGUAGAUUUCUUACCCAACAUAAUGUGUAUUACUGUAAAAAAAUGUUAUUGUUGAAUUCUCUUUUCUAUCUGAUAUAAUGAAUUAAUGAUCAUUUGUACAAUAUAAAUGUGAAAUAUGAAUAAUUAAAUGUAUUGCUGUCAAGACAAAAAUUGUAAAUGUCAUAUUUGUGCUUUACUAAUUUCUAAUAUACUUAUUUUUAUCCAUUAGAUAUAUUUUGGAAUGUUGUUCUUUAAGUAUGCAAUAAGUAAUUUGAUUAGUAGUUAUAUUAUCUUAUGUUCUAUUGCUUUACAGUAUUUUUGUGUAUUUUAAUGGUUAAUGAGUGUGUCUAAAUUAUUUAAUUAAUUCAUUACAUUAUAGCACCGGCUUAAAUGUUUACAUGCAUGUAUUAGACUUUGGUUAUUGUUUCUGAGUAUAAAUUUUAGAAAAUCAACUCAGAUAUUGUGGAGCCAAUCAUUUAUUAAAAUGUCCUCAACCAGA